rnacentral:rRNA from 1 species
UGAGUAAUGUCUGGGAAACUGCCCGAUGGAGGGGGAUAACUACUGGAAACGGUAGCUAAUACCGCAUAACGUCUUCGGACCAAAGUGGGGGACCUUCGGGCCUCACACCAUCGGAUGUGCCCAGAUGGGAUUAGCUAGUAGGUGGGGUAAUGGCUCACCUAGGCGACGAUCCCUAGCUGGUCUGAGAGGAUGACCAGCCACACUGGAACUGAGACACGGUCCAGACUCCUACGGGAGGCAGCAGUGGGGAAUAUUGCACAAUGGGCGCAAGCCUGAUGCAGCCAUGCCGCGUGUAUGAAGAAGGCCUUCGGGUUGUAAAGUACUUUCAGCGGGGAGGAAGGCGGUGGAGUUAAUAGCUUCACCGAUUGACGUUACCCGCAGAAGAAGCACCGGCUAACUCCGUGCCAGCAGCCGCGGUAAUACGGAGGGUGCAAGCGUUAAUCGGAAUUACUGGGCGUAAAGCGCACGCAGGCGGUCUGUCAAGUCGGAUGUGAAAUCCCCGGG